UAGGGAAUCUUCCGCAAUGGACGCAAGUCUGACGGAGCAACGCCGCGUGAGUGAAGAAGGAUUUCGGUUCGUAAAACUCUGUUGUUAGAGAAGAACAGCGCAUAGAGUAACUGUUAUGCGUGUGACGGUAUCUAACCAGAAAGCCACGGCUAACUACGUGCCAGCAGCCGCGGUAAUACGUAGGUGGCAAGCGUUGUCCGGAUUUAUUGGGCGUAAAGCGAGCGCAGGCGGUCAAUUAAGUCUGAUGUGAAAGCCCCCGGCUCAACCGGGGAGGGUCAUUGGAAACUGGUUGACUUGAGUGCAGAAGAGGAGAGUGGAAUUCCAUGUGUAGCGGUGAAAAGCGUAGAUAUAUGGAGGAACACCAGUGGCGAAGGCGACUCUCUGGUCUGUAACUGACGCUGAGGCUCGAAAGCGUGGGUAGCAAACAGG
rnacentral:rRNA from 1 species